ACUUUAUUUCAUCUAAAUGAUACGCUUCCGUUUAAUAUUUACUUUAUAGAAAUGGUUUAGUGUCGUCAGAAAAAGUCCGUUAGCAUCUCCACUGCAAGGCUAACUACAAGAGAGUUUAGCUCCAACCCCAGUUAAGCAGACCUGGGCAGCUGAUCAAGGAUCACCAGAAACUCUGCAGAACAUUGGUCCUCCAGCCCAGGACUGGACACCAGUGUUAGUGUCUGUCUCAGAAGCUGAAGAAAAGAGGCCACACCUCAGAGGAAAUAAGCGCCUCCUAAGGGUACGGAAAUACCUGACUGAGAAGAUCAGUGACAUAAACCGAGUUAAAACUGUCAGUGGUCUAAGACAGCUACAAUGAAGCCACAAAUGCAGUUCAUAGUUCCUGUAUUUCUAUAAUGCAUUAAUGAAUAACAAUAAUUUAAAAAAAAUGUAAUGUCAAGGUUUUGUGUUAAUUUCAGCUAUGUUGAGUAUUCUGUGAAUAAUUUUGAUUUUAGGUGCAUAUUCUUAAUUCUUUGCAAAACAACCUGAACUGUUUGCUAUUGAAAGGUUGGUAUGUAGUUUAAAUAAAUAAAAAUGUUAUUCUUGACAAAACCUGUGUAUAGUUGUAUUAAUAAUUUAAAUUAUUUAAUUAAUCAAUGGCCUAAUUACCAGCUAUCAGGUAAACAUUCAAAUCAGAACCAAUACAAAACUGCAACGGAAACCAUUAAAUAUGUGCAAAUAAAGACCAAUAGAAACUUGUAAUGGAACCAUCAGAACCAUUACAAAACUGUGAUGGAAACCAUUAAAUAUGUGCAAAUAAAGACCAAUACAAACUUGUAAUGGAACCAUCAGAACCAUUACAAAACUGUGAUGGAAACCAUUAUGUGCAAAUCAUGACCAAUACAAAUUUGUAAUGGAAACCUAUACAAACCAAUAAAUCCUAAUGGAAUAUGCCCAAAACACACUACGUAAUGGAAACCAUUUGGUAAUGGUUUUAAUGGUU